UACGUAGGGUGCAAGCGUUAAUCGGAAUUACUGGGCGUAAAGCGUGCGCAGGCGGUUCGGAAAGAAAGAUGUGAAAUCUCAGGGCUUAACCUUGGAACUGCAUUUUUAACUGCCGGGCUAGAGUAUGUCAGAGGGGGGUAGAAUUCCACGUGUAGCAGUGAAAUGCGUAGAGAUGUGGAGGAAUACCGAUGGCGAAGGCAGCCCCCUGGGAUAAUACUGACGCUCAUGCACGAAAGCGUGGGGAGCAAACAGG
rnacentral:rRNA from 1 species